GUGCACACGGGAUGGGAAACGGUCAGCCUGUGCGUGUGGGCGUGUGGCGUGCACACACGCAUGCGCCAAAACGACCCAGCAGAGCGUGAGGAGUUAAUGAUGCGGGAGACGAGAGACAUCUGCUGGAGCCAAGCCCUUGAGCUGGCCCAAGGCACCAAGACCUGAAGCAGGAGAGGAGGGCUUUUGACCAGCGGAGACACACCAUGACGCCAAAACAGUCAACAAGUAACACCGACAGGCAUAAGCCGGCAGUGACCUCCCCCUCUGGUAUUUUGACGAAAACACCAGUCACUAAAUCAGGAUCACAGCUGUGGCCGGUGGAAGGACGUCAGAGCAGUCCAACCCCAUUAUUCACUCAGCAGCCUCUGCCCUGGACUGUGGAGUCGAGAUACAGACCCUGCACCACUGGACAAGCCCGCAUGAUGACACAGGUGCUGGAAACAUGGAGAAAGAACUUCAGAGGUACAAAACGUUCUGUGGCAUCCCAGCACCUGCGAGGACAUGCUGAAGCAGGUCCACAUUAUGCGGAGAACCCAACUCCAGCAUGCCCCACCCAUCACCCCCAAAUCCGUCCUGAAACAGGUUUUUGCAUGCAUGUCAGAGGGAGCAGGCAUUGGUGUGGCUUUUGGGAGCAGCAGUUUGAC